UACGUAGGGUGCGAGCGUUAAUCGGAAUUACUGGGCGUAAAGCGUGCGCAGGCGGUUCGCCGUGUCCGAUGUGAAAGCCCCGGGCUUAACCUGGGAAUGGCAUUGGAAACUGGCGGGCUUGAGUGUGGCAGAGGGGGGUGGAAUUCCACGUGUAGCAGUGAAAUGCGUAGAUAUCAAGAGGAACACCGGUGGCGAAGGCGGCUCUCUGGUCCAUGUCUGACGCUGAGGUACGAAAGCUAGGGGAGCAAACGGG
rnacentral:rRNA from 1 species